rnacentral:pre_miRNA from 1 species
AGCCAGCGCAGACUGGCAUGGCCCAGCCGACUCUGGACGAGUAUCUCUUUGAGCAGCUCACUCUCAAGCAUGAUUAGGAGG